rnacentral:rRNA from 1 species
GUGAGGAAUUUUGCGCAAUGGGGGCAACCCUGACGCAGCGACGCCGCGUGGAGGACGAAGUCUUUCGGGAUGUAAACUCCUGUCAGUGGGGACGAUAAUGACGGUACCCACAGAGGAAGCACCGGCUAACUCCGUGCCAGCAGCCGCGGUAAGACGGAGGGUGCAAGCGUUGUUCGGAAUUAAUGGGCGUAAAGCGUAUGUAGGCGGCAAGUUAAGUUCAAUGUUAAAGCCCACGGCUCAACCGAGGAGAUGCAUUGAAUACUGGCUAGCUAGAGGGUGUUAGAGGAAGACGGAAUUCCCAGUGUAGCGGUGAAAUGCGUAGAUAUUGGGAGGAACAUCGGUAGCGAAAGCGGUCUUCUGGGACAUACCUGACGCUGAGGUACGAAAGCGUGGGGAGCAAACGGGAUUAGAAACCCCGGUAGUCC